AUUGAACGCUGGCGGCAUGCCUUACACAUGCAAGUCGAACGGUAACAGGAAACAGCUUGCUGUUUCGCUGACGAGUGGCGGACGGGUGAGUAAUGUCUGGGAAACUGCCUGAUGGAGGGGGAUAACUACUGGAAACGGUAGCUAAUACCGCAUAACGUCGCAAGACCAAAGAGGGGGACCUUCGGGCCUCUUGCCAUCGGAUGUGCCCAGAUGGGAUUAGCUAGUAGGUGGGGUAACGGCUCACCUAGGCGACGAUCCCUAGCUGGUCUGAGAGGAUGACCAGCCACACUGGAACUGAGACACGGUCCAGACUCCUACGGGAGGCAGCAGUGGGGAAUAUUGCACAAUGGGCGCAAGCCUGAUGCAGCCAUGCCGCGUGUAUGAAGAAGGCCUUCGGGUUGUAAAGUACUUUCAGCGGGGGGGAAGGGAGUAAAGUUAAUACCUUUGCUCAUUGACGUUACCCGCAGAAGAAGCACCGGCUAACUCCGUGCCAGCCGCCGCGGUAA
rnacentral:rRNA from 1 species